rnacentral:rRNA from 1 species
GUUGGUUAUGCACGUCCAAGCACUGAGGCAGUAUCCGGAGGCAAAUCCACGGAUAUAAUGCUGGGGUGUGACGGGGAGCGAAAUUUAGUAGCGAAGCAUCUGCAUUCACACUGUCGAGAAAAGUCUCUAUCGAGUUUAAAGGCGCCCGUACCGCAAACCGACACAGGUGGGUGAGGAGAGUAUCCUAAGGCCAGCGAGAGAACUGUUGUUAAGGAACUCGGCAAAAUGACCCCGUAAGUUAGCGAUAAGGGGUGCCAUCGAAAGAUGGCCGCAGAGAAUAGGCCCAAGCAACUGUUUAACUAAAACAUAGCUCUCUGCUAAAGCGUAAGCUGAUGUAUAUCUGCUUCCGGUUCAUUAUCCUUCAAAUCGGCAAGCAUAUUCAACGCCUUGUUUUCAACCCGAGCCAUCCGUUUCGGCUGGCGCAACCCCUUGGUUACAAUACUCAUAUUAUAU